GAUGAACGCUGGCGGCGUGCCUAAUACAUGCAAGUCGAGCGAACGGACGAGAAGCUUGCUUCUCUGAUGUUAGCGGCGGACGGGUGAGUAACACGUGGAUAACCUACCUAUAAGACUGGGAUAACUUCGGGAAACCGGAGCUAAUACCGGAUAAUAUUUUGAACCGCAUGGUUCAAAAGUGAAAGACGGUCUUGCUGUCACUUAUAGAUGGAUCCGCGCUGCAUUAGCUAGUUGGUAAGGUAACGGCUUACCAAGGCAACGAUGCAUAGCCGACCUGAGAGGGUGAUCGGCCACACUGGAAGUGAGACACGGUCCAGACUCCUACGGGAGGCAGCAGUAGGGAAUCUUCCGCAAUGGGCGAAAGCAUGACGGAGCAACGCCGCGUGAGUGAUGAAGGUCUUCGGAUCGUAAAACUCUGUUAUUAGGGAAGAACAUAUGUGUAAGUAACUGUGCACAUCUUGACGGUACCUAAUCAGAAAGCCACGGCUAACUACGUG
rnacentral:rRNA from 1 species